UACGUAGGGUGCGAGCGUUAAUCGGAAUUACUGGGCGGAAAGGGUGCGCAGGCGGCCGCGCAAGUCGAGUGUGAAAGCCCCGAGCUUAACUUGGGAAUUGCGCUCGAAACUACGUGGCUGGAGUGUGGCAGAGGAAGGUGGAAUUCCAGGUGUAGCGGUGAAAUGCGUAGAGAUCUGGAGGAACACCGAUGGCGAAGGCAGCCUUCUGGGCCAACACUGACGCUCAUGCACGAAAGCGUGGGGAGCAAACAGG
rnacentral:rRNA from 1 species